CAGUAGCCGCGGGAAUACGAAGGGUGCAAGCGUUACUCGGAAUUACUGGGCGUAAAGCGUGCGUAGGUGGUGGUUUAAGUCCGUUGUGAAAGCCCUGGGCUCAACCUGGGAAUUGCAGUGGAUACUGGGUCACUAGAGUGUGGUAGAGGAUAGUGGAAUUUCCGGUGUAGCAGUGAAAUGCGUAGAGAUCGGAAGGAACAUCUGUGGCGAAGGCGACUAUCUGGGCCAACACUGACACUGAGGCACGAAAGCGUGGGGAGCAAACAGGAUUAGAUACCCCCGUAGUCCAUGUCUCUUAUAC
rnacentral:rRNA from 1 species